rnacentral:lncRNA from 1 species
UUUUCAGACUUCUUUUUACCUAUUUGCGAGUACUAUUUUCUUCCUAUUUUUUGCACUUAAAUUUUUUAUGACAUGAUACAAAUUUGUGAACUAUUUUUUGUCUAUUUUCUAAACUUGCAUAUUUUCAUUGUUUAUGACUGGCAUCCUAUUCAAAAAGCCCGCUUCUCCUGCCAUUAUCUCUGUUGUUCAUUUUGCGACUUAUUGGUUGUUUUUAGCUGUGGGGUCACAUAUUGAAUAGUGAGCUCAAAGAUGACCAUAAAUAAACAAUGUGUAAAAAGAAAAUGUACGAAAUUUCAAUUUUGUUCCUUUAUUAAUAUUCUUGAUUUUAUUUACAAACUAUAGUAGUGACUAGUGCACUCAAAGAUAACCAUACAUAAACCAUGUGUAAAAAGAAAAUGUACACAUAGAAAUUUCAACCAAAAAAAAUCUCCUUUAUUAAUAGAAAAAAAAGCAUUCGAUCGAGAUAUUCCCGUUCUAUGUGUGCGCAAAGUUUCAACGUAGAGGACAGUACGCAAGUACGUAAUUUGAAAAUUACCCGUUAUUUUUUUCCCCCCACUGACACUGCUGUGCGCAUCGGACUUUUGCUGAUUUUCGUUCAUCAAACGUCUCCAAAUCACACCAAAAUGUCUUCCAGCAAUUAUUCUAGCGAUGAAAUUUCAUCAAGAGAUAGUGACUCCUCAUACUCCGAUGCCUCCUUAUCCCAUUUUAGUGAUUCUUCCCAAGAAAAUGAGCCCGACUAAUGUUCAAAAUAUUACUACUAGUCCCACUCGUAGAGAAACGAGUUUGUUGUCGAAUUACGGACCAUCGACGAGCGGAACUGGCCCCAGAAAACAGCUGAAAAGGAAUCAGAAAACACAACGCAAGAAGAAGAGCAAGUCUUCCAAGUCCGAGAGUGUGUCUGCGAGAUCAAUUGAAACUAAUCAAGCUACAAUGUACAUGUAACGUACAACCACCAUUCGAUGCCUGUGAACAGCAUGACCAACAUCUGUAUCCUUUACAUUAGUAUUUGUUUCCAUUUUAUUAUGUAAUUCUUAUGUCUAAUCAUUGAGAUUCAUAGGCAAGUACAACAUGUAUGUGUACACAAUGAGUGCCUGCAUAUUGUGAAGAUAAAGGACCAUACAGUAAGACCAUUACUUAUGAUACAUGGUAAUGAUGGUAUACUUUGUAAAACUAUUUGAAAAUAGUAGCAUGUAAGUCUGUCAUUUUCUUGUUUAUAUAUAUCUCAAUGACAUGACAUGUCAUUGAUUUUGUAGUAAGUGUUUCUAGAUUAUGAUGAUUGUAUUAAGAUUUUGACAGUUCAAUUGAGAUUGAGAAAAUUAUGUAACAUGUCAACUGUACAAUAGAGCAUGCAUGCAUUGUUGAAAAAUCUGUUUUAUGAUUUAUUUUAUUUUGUUAUCUUUGUAAAUAACGAGAAUUUUUUUUUUACUUGUCAUGAUUUUCUUGAGGUUUGAAAAUGUUAUUACAUUAUUAAGAGCACUUUGCAAUUAAAUUGUAAUAAAAGAGACAGAAAACAACACUCUCAUGUCAAGAAUACUGCUUUAUUUGGUUACUAGUGAGGGAGAGAGCUUGUGAUCGCCUGGCAUAUCCACAUCGGCUCAGUAAUAGUCCUGAAACUCACCUGAAUACUUUAUUUGAACAAAAAUAGAAAGCUACAUUCUAGGUGGAUGAUAUUUUUUUAAGGCGGAGGCAUAUAGGAGACGCAGUCGCAUUUGUCUUGUUUUUGUUUUUUUAGAGUAUAAUCAUAGCAAACCAAGAACAACUCUAUUACUACAACAUGUACACUACAGUACUUAACCAAAGAUUGUAAAUAUCAGUUAAGUUCUUUUAUUUAUUUGCUUAUAUGAACACACAUACUAUACUAAACUCAUGUCAUUGUGUUUACCUCUCGAAAAUAAAGUACAUGUAUUUUA